rnacentral:rRNA from 1 species
GACGAACGCUGGCGGCGUGCCUAAUACAUGCAAGUCGAGCGAAGUUUUUCUGGUGCUUGCACUAGAAAAACUUAGCGGCGAACGGGUGAGUAACACGUAAAGAACCUGCCUCAUAGACUGGGACAACUAUUGGAAACGAUAGCUAAUACCGGAUAACAGCAUUAACUGCAUGGUUGAUGUUUAAAAGUUGGUUUUGCUAACACUAUGAGAUGGCUUUGCGGUGCAUUAGCUAGUUGGUGGGGUAAAGGCCUACCAAGGCGACGAUGCGUAGCCGACCUGAGAGGGUGAUCGGCCACACUGGGACUGAGACACGGCCCAGACUCCUACGGGAGGCAGCAGUAGGGAAUCUUCCGCAAUGGGCGAAAGCCUGACGGAGCAACGCCGCGUGAGUGAAGAAGGAUUUCGGUUCGUAAAGCUCUGUUGUUAGGGAAGAAUGAUUGUGUAGUAACUAUACACAGUAGAGACGGUACCUAACCAGAAAGCCACGGCUAACUACGUG